CCCUUAGAUGUCCUGGGCCGCACGCGCGCUACACUGAGUGUCUGAGAUACGAGUCUGCCUGGUCCGGCAAGGUCUAGGUAAUCGCUAAAAGACACAUCAUGCUUGUGAUAGAUUAUUGCAAAUAUUAAUCUUGAACGAGGAAUUCCUAGUAAGCGCAAGUCAACAGCUUGCGUUGAUUACGUCCCUGCCCUUUGUACACACCGCCCGUCGCUACUACUGAUUGGAUGUUUAAGCGAGGUUCUCGAACUGCUAGCGACUUAGCUUCGGUGAGGUCGCAGUGUGGGAAGUGAACCUAGCUUUGGUGUCUAGAGGAAGUAAAAGUCGUAACA
rnacentral:rRNA from 1 species